AGAGUUUGAUUCUGGCUCAGGAUGAACGCUGGCGGCAUGCCUAAUACAUGCAAGUCGAACGAAGUCUUUAGGAAGCUUGCUUCCAAAGAGACUUAGUGGCGAACGGGUGAGUAACACGUAGGUAACCUGCCCAUGUGCCCGGGAUAACUGCUGGAAACGGUAGCUAAAACCGGAUAGGUAUGAGGGAGGCAUCUUCCUCAUAUUAAAGCACCUUCGGGUGUGAACAUGUAUGGACCUGCGGCGCAUUAGCUGGUUGGUGAGGUAACGGCCCACCAAGGCGAUGAUGCGUAGCCGACCUGAGAGGGUGAACGGCCACAUUGGGACUGAGACACGGCCCAAACUCCUACGGGAGGCAGCAGUAGGGAAUUUUCGUCAAUGGGGGGAACCCUGAACGAGCAAUGCCGCGUGUGAAGAAGGUCUUCGGAUCGUAAAGCACUGUUGUAAGUGAAGAAUGCCAUAUAGAGGAAAUGCUAUGUGGGUGACGGUAGCUUACCAGAAAGCCACGGCUAACUACGUGCCAGCAGCCGCGGUAAUACGUAGGUGGCAAGCGUUAUCCGGAAUCAUUGGGCGUAAAGGGUGCGUAGGUGGCACGAUAAGUCUGAAGUAAAAGGCAACAGCUCAACUGUUGUAUGCUUUGGAAACUGUCGAGCUAGAGUGCAGAAGAGGGCGAUGGAAUUCCAUGUGUAGCGGUAAAAUGCGUAGAUAUAUGGAGGAACACCAGUGGCGAAGGCGGUCGCCUGGUCUGUAACUGACACUGAUGCACGAAAGCGUGGGGAGCAAAUAGGAUUAGAUACCCUAGUAGUCCACG
rnacentral:rRNA from 1 species